UGGCUCAGGACGAACGCUGGCGGCGUGCUUCAUACAUGCAAGUCGAACGAGAAGCUGACUUCGGUCAGUGGAAAGUGGCGGACGGGUGAGUAAUAUGUAGAGAAUCUGCCCUUGAGUGGGGGACAACAGAGGGAAACUUCUGCUAAUACCCCAUAUGAGCUAACUUGAAAUAGUUAUCUUGAAAACUCCGGUGCUCAAGGAUGAGUCUGCAUCUGAUUAGCUAGUUGGCGGUGUAAUGGACCACCAAGGCGACGAUCAGUAGCUGGUUUGAGAGGAUGAUCAGCCACAAUGGGACUGAGACACGGCCCAUACUCCUACGGGAGGCAGCAGUAGGGAAUUUUGCGCAAUGGGCGAAAGCCCUGACGCAGCAACGCCGCGUGAACGAUUAAGCCCUUCGGGGUGUAAAGUUCUGUCAGUAGGGACGAAUUUUGACGGUACCUACAGAGGAAGCACCGGCUAACUCCGUGCCAGCCGCGGC
rnacentral:rRNA from 1 species